rnacentral:rRNA from 1 species
UACGAAGGGGGCUAGCGUUGUUCGGAAUUACUGGGCGUAAAGGGCGCGUAGGCGGCCUUCUAAGUCGAACGUGAAAUCCCUGGGCUCAACCCAGGAACUGCGUCCGAUACUGGAAGGCUUGAAUCCGGGAGAGGGAUGUGGAAUUCCAGGUGUAGCGGUGAAAUGCGUAGAUAUCUGGAGGAACACCGGUGGCGAAGGCGGCAUCCUGGACCGGUAUUGACGCUGAUGCGCGAAAGCCAGGGGAGCAAACGGG